rnacentral:rRNA from 1 species
UACGGAGGGUGCAAGCGUUAAUCGGAAUUACUGGGCGUAAAGCGUGCGUAGGUGGUUGAAUAAGUUAUCUGUGAAAUCCCCGGGCUCAACCUGGGCAGGUCAGAUGAUACUGUUUAACUCGAGUAUGGGAGAGGGUAGUGGAAUUUCCGGUGUAGCGGUGAAAUGCGUAGAGAUCGGAAGGAACACCAGUGGCGAAGGCGGCUACCUGGCCUAAUACUGACACUGAGGCCCGAAAGCGUGGGGAGCAAACAGG